rnacentral:rRNA from 1 species
AUUGAACGCUGGCGGCAUGCUUUACACAUGCAAGUCGAACGGUAACAGGUCUUCGGAUGCUGACGAGUGGCGAACGGGUGAGUAAUGCAUCGGAACGUGCCCAGUCGUGGGGGAUAACGCAGCGAAAGCUGUGCUAAUACCGCAUACGAUCUAUGGAUGAAAGCGGGGGAUCGCAAGACCUCGCGCGAUUGGAGCGGCCGAUGUCAGAUUAGCUAGUUGGUGGGGUAAAGGCCCACCAAGGCGACGAUCUGUAGCUGGUCUGAGAGGACGACCAGCCACACUGGGACUGAGACACGGCCCAGACUCCUACGGGAGGCAGCAGUGGGGAAUUUUGGACAAUGGGCGCAAGCCUGAUCCAGCAAUGCCGCGUGCAGGAAGAAGGCCUUCGGGUUGUAAACUGCUUUUGUACGGAACGAAAAGGUCUGGGUUAAUACCCUGGGCUCAUGACGGUACCGUAAGAAUAAGCACCGGCUAACUACGUGCCAGCAGCCGCGGUAAUACGUAGGGUGCAAGCGUUAAUCGGAAUUACUGGGCGUAAAGCGUGCGCAGGCGGUUUUGUAAGACAGGCGUGAAAUCCCCGGGCUCAACCUGGGAAUGGCGCUUGUGACUGCAAGGCUGGAGUGCGGCAGAGGGGGAUGGAAUUCCGCGUGUAGCAGUGAAAUGCGUAGAUAUGCGGAGGAACACCAAUGGCGAAGGCAAUCCCCUGGGCCUGCACUGACGCUCAUGCACGAAAGCGUGGGGAGCAAACA